GAGUAACACGUGACUAACCUACCUCUUAGUGGGGAAUAACUCCGGGAAACCGGGGCUAAUACCGCAUAACACCGCAAGGUCAAAGCAGCAAUGCGCUGGGAGAGGGGGUCGCGGCUGAUUAGCUAGUUGGCGGGGUAACGGCCCACCAAGGCGAAGAUCGGUAUCCGGCCUGAGAGGGCGCACGGACACACUGGAACUGAAACACGGUCCAGACUCCUACGGGAGGCAGCAGUGGGGAAUUUUGCGCAAUGGGGGAAACCCUGACGCAGCAACGCCGCGUGGAGGAUGAAGCCCUUUGGGGCGUAAACUCCUUUCGACUCGGACGAUAAUGACGGUACGAGUGGAAGAAGCACCGGCUAACUCUGUGCCAGCAGCCGCGGUAAUACAGAGGGUGCGAGCGUUGUUCGGAAUUAUUGGGCGUAAAGGGCGCGUAGGCGGUGCGGUAAGUCACCUGUGAAAUCUCCCGGCUUAACUGGGAGCCUGCAGGCGAAACUACCGUGCUGGAGUGUGGGAGAGGUGCGUGGAAUUCCCGGUGUAGCGGUGAAAUGC
rnacentral:rRNA from 1 species